CAUAUCCUUCGGGGCAGGGUGGAAUUCCCGACCGGCGGUAUUGAAACGAAACGUUUCUCAGCCCGCGAGCCGAACAGGCAUGAUCCGGUGCGAUUCCGGAGCCGACAGUAUAGUCUGGAUGGGAGAAGGAUUGC
rnacentral:ncRNA from 1 species